rnacentral:tRNA from 1 species
UGGAUAGCUCAGUUUGUUAGAGCGUGGUGCUGAUUACGCCAAGGUUGCAGGUUUGAUCCCUGUUAUGGGAU